rnacentral:lncRNA from 1 species
CCGCCUCCAGACGCGCCUCCUUCGCCACCCGUCCGCGCCGCCCCUCCGGUCCGCUCCUCCUCGCCCUGCAUCGCCUCCUGCGCGCCGCCGCCUCCAUCUGGCACGACGCGCUGCCUCCGUCUAGCACGACGCGCCGCCUCCAGCGCGCCGCCGCCUCACCACCGCUCGCUCCACCGGCCGCGCCACUGCCUCACUGGCCCUCCCGCCUUGGACACCUGAGCUGCCACCGAGCCGCGCCUCUCCGCCGUGGGCGAUUGCCCGCUAUCCCGCCGCCGUCUUCCAUCGACGCCCCGCCACCGCUCUCAGUCACCAUCGCCGCCAAAGGUAUUGCAAUAUGGUCAUUCUCUGCUUAUUUUGUUCCUGAUAUCUGGCAUUCAUUGUUGGUAAUAAUGUGUUGUAUCUCUACUCCUAAAAAAAGCAAAACCAAGACAUUUUUUUCGUACGUCGGGUCCUCCGUCAACCCUUCGUCCCGCGCUUCGUUGUUUUUCUGCCGUCCGCGAUUGAAUCGCAAAUCUGAGCCCUUCCUCUCGCUCCUGUCGCCUCCGUCCCCGAGCCCUUCCGUCGCCUCCCACAUCCGCCACCCCCUGAGUGCCAUCCGGUCCCGCGGCAUCCUACGCCUCCUGCCCCAGCGCCGCCGCCGAACGCACCUCCUUCGCCGCCCCUUCCGCGCCGCCCCUCCAAUCCACUCCUCCUCGCCCUGCAUCGCCUCUUGCGCACCGCCGACUCCGGAUGCGCCUCCUUCGCUGCCCUUCCGCGCCGCCCCUCCGGUCCGAUCCUCCUCGCCCUGCACCGCCUCCUGCGCGUCGCCGACUCCGGAUGCGCCUCCUUCGCUGCCCUUCCGCGCCGCCCCUCCGGUCCGCUCCUCCUCGCCCUGCACCGCCUCCUGCGCGUCGCCGACUCCGGAUGCGCCUCCUUCGCUGCCCUUCCGCGCCGCCCCUCCGGUCCGCUCCUCCUCGCCCUGCACCGCCUCCUGCGCGCCGCCGACUCCGGAUGCGCCUCCUUCGCUGCCCUUCCGCGCCGCCCCUCCGGUCCGAUCCUCCUCGCCCUGCACCGCCUCCUGCGCGUCGCCGACUCCGGAUGCGCCUCCUUCGCUGCCCUUCCGCGCCGCCCCUCCGGUCCGCUCCUCCUCGCCCUGCACCGCCUCCUGCGCGUCGCCGACUCCGGAUGCGCCUCCUCGCCCUGCGUCGCCUCCUGCGCGCCGCCGCCUCCAUCUGGCACGACGCGCCGCCUCUAGCGCGCCGCCGCCUCACCACCGCUCGCUCCACCGGCCGCGCCACUGCCUCACUGGCCCUCCCGCCUUGGACACCUGAGCUGCCACCGAGCUGCACCUCUCCGCCGUGGGCGAUUGCCCACUAUCCCGCCGCCGUCUUCCAUCGACGCCCCGCCACCGCUCUCAGUCGCCAUCGCCGCCAAAGGUAUUGCAAUAUGGUCAUUCUCUGCUUAUUUUGUUCCUGAUAUCUGGCAUUCAUUGUUGGUAAUAAUGUGUUGUAGAAACACAUUUACAACCAUACAUCCAGACUCACACAAACUCAACCCUAACACCCCGACAAUUUAGGAUGAAAUUUCAACCUGAAUACUGUUAAAAUUUUGCAGGCCAGAUUAUGAAGCUGGACUGCAGGACUUCAAGGAACGCUUGACGAAUUAUGAGAAGGUUUCAACCAUUUAUGCUCUGUUGAAGUGCUGCCUAAGUAGAAUUCUUGAGUUCUAUGAACUAUUUGGUCUUAAAUGAAGUAGCAUUCCUUUUGUAGGUCUAUGAGCCAGUGGGGGAAGGUUCUUACAUCAAAAUGAUUGACAUGGUAAAGGGGCAGGGUGGUCAGUUACAGGUAAGCUCUUCCAUACCUUUGCAUAUUGUACAAAACAUGACUCAACAUUAGGAAUUUUGCAUCCCUAGGUGGCAGAAGGAUCAAUGGUAUGGGUACAACUUUUAUGUAAUUGAAUAUCUCUCGAAACACUUGAACAUGCAUGUUAUGUAAAAUGAGGACUUGUUUAGAUAAGUUAUUUGCACAAAACAUGUCAAUUUUUGCAUAGUACCAAUUGAUGCUUUCAGAUAAUACAGUCCUACAACAGUAGUUUGUUGUGGCAUCCAUGUCAAAUGUGGAGUUCUAAAACUGUGAAGAGGGAAAAUAAUUCUCUUGUGUGCCUGUCUCCCAUGUCAUUUUGCUAGACAUCCAAGGAGUAAUUUAUUCUUCUGUAUUUCUUGUAUCCAUUUUACCAUAUGCCCCACUUUUUUAUGAUUCUAUUAAUCUAUUUCAGAUAUGGGUAUACGGGAAUAGUUUUGAAUCUUUUCUUGUUGCCGUUAUCAAUCCGAACCAACAAGUGCUUGAGCAUUGGGCUGAACAAAACGGUAGUACCGUCAGCUAACUCACAAAGAUCGGGAAGGAAAAGAAGGUAAAGUACCCUAAUUACACUAUUGUUUGAUGCAUCUCGAUUCCUAUUAUGCAAAUAGUAAUUUAAACAAUUUUUGUGUAAUCUUUGCCUUGCCAGCUGAAAGGCUUUGAGUUGAUAAAAGCUAUACAUCUCGAUCCUUUACCGUUUGAUAUCGAGCGUGACCUCAUCACCCCAACAUACAAGAAGAAACGACCACAGAUGCUCAAGUACUACCAGGUUCUUUUCUUUUCUUUUCUUCCUAUCUUGGUUGUAUGUGAUCGGUACAGAGAAAAGCUCGAGACAGCACGAUGAGAAGAAAGGUAAGCUAGGGCUGCUCAUGGAGAUAAGAAGAAUGAUUUAAAAGUCUAUGUGAUAGGAAAAAUGCACCAAGCAAAUUCGUUUGAAGAAAUUGAUAAGUUGGUAAGAAUUCUAACUUUGUUAGCAUCCUUUUAAUAUUGCACUAUGGUCCUCAUGAAGCACCGUGCCGUCACCGCUGGUGGGGGCAACUCAGAGACCAUGCUACUGCUUGGGCCAUGUGGUAGAGAAGAUCGGCGUGACCUCCGCGGCCAAAGGAGCGGAAUGCGAGUGGCCGAAUAAUUUGUAAGAAGAUGGGUAGAGUUAUAAUGGUGAAAAGAUUGAUUACAAUUUCUUUUGACUCAUUAGAUUGCCACAGGAGCAUGUGCAUAUUUUAGGUGGUGUGAGAGGUAGCAUGCUUAGAAUGUGUUUGUUAUUUAAGGUGGCAUGAGAUGUAAUCAAGAUUUAGCAGGUACUUUUGGCUUUGAUGACACCUAAAUUUCUUAAUUAUAUUUUAACCUCAUAUUUUUUCUAUAUGUCAUAUUGUUUUUUUUUUUUUGUAUUCUUCUACUGAUAAAUAAAGUUAAAUUUUCAAGUAAAGAUUAGAAGACAGGAAAUUAAUAUGUUCCCCCCCAAGAGUUUUAGGUCAGAGGUGGCAGUGUAAUAGUUCAAUUUUUCAGUUACAUUGAUCUACUUAAACUAAUAUAUAAUUUUGGCUUAUUUUGAUGAUUGUGCAUUUCAGGCAGCUCUGGUGAUCGGAGAUGGCUCCAUUAGCAGCAACAGCAGGAGGAGGAUGUCAUCUCUUUAAUUCAUUAUAUGCUUACCAUUUUCUUUCAACCUUAAUAUAUAUAGCAAUCUGCCCAGAACAACUGCUACAAAUCCCAUGCCUAAUUGAAAAUUGUGACUUUCUGGAGAUUGAGGGAAUAGAUCAAUGCCAUUGUAAUUAAUCUUGUCCUUUGCUUCAUUUUUUUCUGAUCAUGUUGUGGUAGGUGAGCGGCGCUUACGCCGUGCUCCCUUGACAAGCUCGCCGCCAUUGCAAAGCUCUUGGAGGGCCAAGAGAUCCCCGAGGCCAAGACUGGCUCUCGGCCGGCCUCUCCGCCUUCCCUUACCUCUACACCUCCAUUUUGAGGGUUGGUUUUUUCUGUACAUAUCAAUCUUGCAAGGAAAAAGUUCUAGAAGAGUAAGUAUUUUUGUUAUAUUACAUGAAUCUUGGGCCUAAGAACAGAACUAUCGUUAUCUUAAUCUGCAACUGAUCCUUAUUUUUUUUCUAUGAUUCAAAGGCAGCACUGGGUGGAUGUGCAACUAUUGUUUAUGUUUUAUUGGGACUAAAAGGCAGGAUUGUUGUUGGAUGUAAGUUAUGGGUUCUCUUUUAUUUGCAAACAUCGUAUUAUUGCUGCUUAAAUACUGCUUAUGAUCAUUAAAUACCGCCAAGUAUUAACAUACUCUACUAUCACGCUGUCGUUAUAUUCAUACAAGCAAAUGGCAUUUUAUGCAUCUUGCACUGAAUUUUUUUAUUUCACUAUGCUAAAAUUCACUGACUAACUUUAUAGUUUUAUUUUGCUGUAUACUUAUUUUCCUUGUACAGUUGUAUGUGCUCGAAUCUUUGCCCUUUGUAGAAUAUAAAAACAUUUGAAAUUGUUUGCUCUAUACUUUUACGGACUUGAGAAAUAUGUUAUGAUAAAGCUAUAUAAUCGGGUAUUUGCUUUGGUCCCUGAAGAUGUGAAGAGUGAUGAAGAGCUUUUUGAGAAAAUAUCUUUGCUACAGCAGUUUAUAAGGCCCAAAACCUUGGUUAUAAAACCAGAGUAUCAGAAUGAAACUUCUUGGCUGGUAUGAAACUUAAGUUGUCUUGUUAUUGUGAUUUUUUAUAUCGCUGGAUGUCUUGCACCACUUCUGUUACAUGGCCACUGUAACAUUUCUGCCAUUCAAUUCCCUGUUGCUUUCAGACACCCUCUCAAGGAGUAGUUGAUGACCCUUUUUUUAAAUGAGCAUGAACUUGUGUGAUUCAUUGUCAGCAAGUCUACCAAUCUUUAAAUUAGAGCCAACAAAUGUAUUCUGCUGCCUACUGGCUAAGCCAUUUGUUUAAAUAGACCUUAUGACAGCUGUUCAUUCUUCAUAUCAGUGUAAUUCAUUAAUAUUCCUUACUUUCCUUUCCUUUUUGUUUAUUUAUUUUCUUGUUUUUGUGGUACAGCUCGUGCAGAAGGAGCUGCAGAAGAUAAACAUGUUUAAGGCUCCAAGGGAUAAGCUUUCUUGCAUCCUAAACUGCUGUAAAGUCAACAAUAACUUACUGCUGAAUGCUUCUAGCUAUUAUAUCGAAUGAUAAUCCUCCUGGAGCUGAUGAAUUCCUUCGAGUCCUCAUCUAUAUUUGGGAAUUAGUUACAUGGUUAUUCUUUUGCAAGUUUAGAUAAAGAGCAUACAAGCAUACUUAUGCUUAUGUUAUUACUCACCGCAAAGUCAUUUUUUGUUUCACAUUGCGGGUAUUUUGAAGUAAUUAUUUCACACGAUAAUGUUUGAUUCUUCAUUUCAACUGGAUGUAGGCUGUCAAGGAAAUACGAUACAACUUUCUGGCUGGUUUUGCGGCAGGGCUGUAAAAUUUAAUUUGCAACUUGAAGGGUACAAACAAGGUAGGCCUAUGUGAUUUAUAAAGUUCAAGUUUCUUGCACAUUUAUCAUGUGAGGUCUAUGGUAGGUCAAGUACUACCCAUGUUUUCAAGUAUUUUUUUUCUAUCCAAGGGUUCCUGAUAGAUUUCUUCAUAUGCCAUUAUGUGAGGCUAUGUAUGAGACAGUGUGUUGGUUUAUAGAUGCAACAUGCAAGUGAAUCGUGUUGGUUUUGAAGCCGCAGCUUUGGUUAGCAGUUAGAAUAAAUGUGAGAUCUUCUAAAUUCUGUUGGUAAUUUGCCAUUUUCCUAAUAUUCAUGUUUGAGGUUGAUGGUUCAGAACUUAAACAGAUUCUUUUUGCAGGGUUAUACUAGCAGUGAACAGCCCAUAUGUGGUUGGGGGCAACCAUUACGGCAUCGUCGUCUCCAUCAAGGUUCAGUCACUUGCGGUAGCACAUGUCAAGUAGCUUCAAUGCCAGAUUUCUUAUGACAGUUACAAUUUACUUGUGCAUUUCGUAAAGAUUUCUGAAACUUGUAGUUUUAUGAGCAUGCCCGUGUGAUAAGUACAACCAUGAUGGUUGCACAUUGGUAGGUGUCAUGUGUUUUCUAAUUUUGCAACUGAAAAUGGUAGAAAGACACCUGGUCUUCAUAUUUAGCGAUGUCUGACUAAAGAAUUGCUGUUUGUGUGUCAUGUUUAUGGUUGAAGUUAUCAGGAGAUUUUUUACUAACUCAAGCUAUGCUGGUCACUUUGUGCCAGGCAGUGGAUGCUUGGACAUGGAGCUGGUCGCGUGUGAUUCUUGUGAUUCUUCUACAGCUCUACGCUUUGUCAUCCAUGUGAUUCUGUUUAGUGGAACCAUGUCUUGUUACAUUACAUCUGAUAUUAUUUCUUUGUCAGAUCUGGAGCACUCUUGAAGAUCAUUUUAAUUAAUUCCAAAGGAUUAUGACAUUGGUGUGAGCAAAAGGAUCAAUACAAUAGUUGCUUUGCUGAAUGUGUUGUGCACUGUAAAUCAUUUGUUGUCCGUAGCAACGCACGGGCACGAUCCUAGUAAUGUAAAAAAUUGAACUCGGAGCACAAUUUGAUAGGAAGAGACUUUGGGAGAGCAAGCUAGGCUAGAGAACGAGAAGGGCAAGAUGGCGACUAAUUCGUUUGUCAACUCGAGGCACUAAGGUUAGUCUCAAUAGAAAGUUUUAUAGGAGUUUCAUGAGCAUUAAAUUGUAUGUCACAUCAGCAAUUUUGCUGAUAUGGCAAGUCCAUUAUGAGGAGAGAGAAUGGAGAGUUUCAUCGUACGUGAGAGAAGUUUCAUCCCCAUGACACUCAUCAUGCACAAUUACCAAGACAAGUUCACAAUCUUGGUAAGUGUACAAUAAAACUGUGCAUUGAGACUGGCCUAACAAACUACACCUCAUUUCAUUCAUUGAAUCCGAAGGCGAAGACUUCCUACAAGUUGCAGAUAAAGCAAGAAGCCAAGAAACUAAAAAUAUUCUUCAUUUUUAAGUGAAGGAAAUUUAUCAUGGUCAAUUAUGAACUCAACAAUCUGUUAUUACAAGUUGCAGCCAAUGCAAUAAAAGCAUGUAAAAGUUUCUUUUUUCUAGUAGACAAUCCACCCAUGAAGAUCACCAUAACUCUCAUUUCCAAAGUUAGGGAUGGCAGUCACACCCAUAGGUACGGGAGCCCACGGGUUUGGCACCUAAUGUGUGCAUGUGUAGGUGUAGAGUUUCACCCACAGGUCCAGGCUCGACCUGUUGACCCGACCUGGGUCGGACCGGUGUAGAAUUUCACCCAUGGGUGCCUAGUGGGUGCCCAAAAUCCCUUAAGGCUUUAACCUUAGCCUUUGUUAAAGUAUUAAAUUAUACUAAUAUAAUGAACUUUUGAUGUUGAAUUGUUGAUGUAUCAAUUGUGAAGUGGAAGUUUAGAUUGCUACCUUGCUAGAGUGGAAUUGUUUAUGUACUAUCAAAAAUUUUUACACUAGCAUAAAAUCUGAUCUUCGCUUAUAGCAAGGGAUGCAGGCUAUUACCUAAGUAUCUCCAGCAGUCUCCCAAUAAAUAUUUCUCAAUAACUAGUUAAUGAAGAUAUCCCAAUAUCCAUUUCAUUGUUAUUGGAAGAGCUACUUUUGUAGUCUUCCAAUAAUCCCAUCCCAAUCCAACUAUCAUAUUGGGAGGGUCACAACAUCUCAUUUAUUUAGGGAGAGUUGGUAUGAAUUAUUGGGUUGUCCCAAUAAUUAUUGGAAAAAGGGAAAAAUAAAGGGAGUAUGUCUCCUAAUAUGAUGGUUGGAUUGGGAAUUAGGGAACUGCUGGAGAUGCUCAUCUCCAAUAAUCUCCUAAUAAUCCUUUCCCAAUAAGUAGUAUUGGGAUAUCUCCCAAUACCGGUUUUAACAUUAUUGGGAGAGUUACUUUUACAAUCUCCCAAUAAAUCAUUGUUUUGUUUCUAUAUAUACGUGUACAUAAAAACUAUGAAUAUUCCAUUUUGAUAUCCAAAUAAUUCAAAGCAUUAUGUCAAAACCUCACACAAAGUCAUCAACAUUUCAAAUCCAUAAAUUUCAAAUCAAAUAAAUUUAAAAUUUGAUAUACAGUCCAAAUGCAUCAAAUAGUCCAAACCAAACUAAUUGGUCAAAAGAGUAAUGACUGUACCAGAGAAGGUGAUGAUUCAUAAGUUUUGCUGGAUUAAUGAAAUUUGCAAUUGAAGAUGCAUGGAUAAAUAUUUGUGAAGUGAUGCUCUAAGCUACUCGUAGAUUGGGGUUGGAUGUCCGGUGCCAGCGACGGUGGACGGAAGAAGUGCGUUGUGUGAAGGCCUGCUGCUUGACAUCGACGGAGUGAAGCCCAAACCAGCCCACAACCUGCAAAGGCAACGACUUCGCUCACCCGUCAUCGGCGGCAUUUAUCCUCUACGAUGGCUUCCGAUGUCGGCGGCGUCACAGAGGCAUCGUGGACGCAACUACGAUGCCUUCCGAUCUACUCUACUUGGCCUUGUGCGCUCGGGCGCGGCCAUCAGCGACCGGAUCCCGACUAGCAGCGCCACCAGACGUACGCCGCCGACCUGGUCCGUCCUUUUCUCCGGCCUCCGGGCGCAGCGCUAGCUGUUGUAGUUGCUCGAUCGAUUCGAUCAACUUAUGAGUUUCCAAACCUGACCUAGCUAGCAGUGAUCUCCCUUCUCCAUCUUCAUUGACUAUCUUGGUAACUUGAUUUCCUCCACCCAUAUAUGUGUAUCUUCUCUGCUAUUAGCGUAGCGUUUGGAGGGACGAGGGUGGGGGAAAAUGGGGUGAGUCUCCUCUGCAUUGGUUGGAGCUGCCCCUGGUCACUGACGUAUGGAUCCGGUCUCAUAUAUCAGUGAUUCAACUGAUAGCAGUACUGCAGAGGAACCACUGGGAGAUCGAGGGAAACCAUCUUGCAGACACAAGACGGUCAAAGGACAUGGCUGAUGAGAACACACAAGGCCAAGGGCCGGGGCAGCAGCCAAGGCAAACGGCACGCAAGAAGGCCCGGCGGCGGUCCGCCGCGUAUGAGGCUAUGAGCACUUCACCUGUUUCGCAAAUGCUCAGGGGAAGGACAAGGCGCGGUGCAGGUAUUUCCGUCUUGAGCUCGUCGCAAACACCAAGAACAGCACGAGCAACCUGAGGUCGCACGUCAGGGUACGAAAGGCACGGGACGGGGAGUCAUCGCGUCCAACAAGCUUUUACUUAAUAAUAUUAUGUUAAUAUAUCAACCCAUUCAAAUUCAAGUAUAAUAUCAACCCAUUUAAAUUAUUAACACUCAAUAGUUUGUACAUCAAUACUUAAAGUUUGAGAGAGAACAAGUUCAAAUCUAUAAGAAAAGAGCACUACGCCACAAAUAAUUUUCACUGCCGGUCAAAAUCGAUUUCUGCUGGCGGGUUUCACACCCACCAGCAACUCACUAUCAGCACAAAUGGUGACUAUACUGGCGGGUGUCCGCCCGCCAAUACAGUUCCAAUUUGCGCUAGCGGGUGCUUAGGUGGCCCGCCAGCACAGAUAUUUUUAGGAAAAAACAGGAACAUCGCCCGUCGCCACCAUGCCCCCGCACCCAGCGGCCGCUGCUACCUCACUCGUGCCCAUGGCUCCCGCGCCCGUCGCCACUCGCCGCUCCCAUCCCCACCGCCUGCCGCUCCCGCGCCCAUCGCCGCCCGCCGCUCCUGGAGAUAAGAGAGAGACAAAUGUGAGGACGGAAGACAGAGAGAGACAGAAGACAAAUGUGAGGACGGAAGAUAGAAGAGAGAGGGAUAGAAGAUAAGAAGGGAGAGGUGGCUGCUCGAGUGCGCUAAUUUUUGGCCCCGCGCUCAGUGCUAGAGAAUUUUUGGCUCCACGCUCAGUGCUGGCGGGUGAUGUGUCUGUGCUGACGAGUGACAUUAUCGCCUGCCAGCACAAAUCUAUGUACAUUUUUAAAAAAAAUUAGACAAUUAAAUUAGUUUAAAAGUUAUUGAAUCUUCUACAACAAAAUAUAUAUACAUAUAUAUAUAGUAUUAUACAAGUAAAAAUUAUAUUAGUAUACAUAUGAUAUUUGGUUUUCUAAGUUAGUUGACAAGCUUAAAGUGUGACUUGAGUUAUAUGAAACAUUAUUAGUGAAGUAUACAUUUGUGAAUAAUGUAGAGUCUAAUUUUUGUAAACAUAUCGCAACUUUUAUAUCAAGGUUGUUGACUCACAAAAUGACUCCCUACCAAUUUAUAUAAUUUUCGAACCAUAUUUUCAUAUUAUUAGAAUUUUUUGCACCUAAAGUUAUAAAUAAAAGUGAUAAAUACAUUAACAAACUUGUGAAAAUUUCGCAUGUACUUUCAUGAUUUGAGAUAAAAUGGAACAUAUUUCCUUAUUGUCAUUUUUAUGCAAUUUUUGAAUCUUAUAUGUGAAAAAUUAGUUCAAAUAUCAAUUAAUUUCAACAAACGUGGUUAUAAUCGUAGAAAAUUGCAAAUCACUUCUAAAAGUUUUGAAACUCCUACACAAUUGCAUAUAUAUAUAUAUAUAUAUAUUCUAAUACAUGUUAAAAAUAUAUUGGGAUAUGCACGAUUAAGUUUUUGGCUAGUUAAAAACUUUGAGCCCUCCCCAUCAAUAAAAAUUGGAAUGCAUUUGUGCUGGCGGGUGACAUAACCACCCACCGGCACAAAUGCAUUUGUGCUAACGAGUGGCAUACAGGAUGGCCACUGCACCUUCGGUGUUGGCGGGUGGCAUUCAUGCCCGCUAGCACUCAAAAAUCAAGGUGGCAGCACAAAUCGUUUCUAGCGUAGUAGGGUACGGUAGGAGUACAUCCAUGCAUGCUACAUACUUAAUAAUUCGCUUCGCUUUCGUAGAUAUGCCACAUAGUUUAAGUCUCCAAUCGUAAAGUCUAGAAUUUCAUCAAUAUAAGCUAAAGCAUGAAUUAGUGCACUCUCUAGCGCUUCACAAGAAUGGUCACAUGCAUUACCAUAAAUCUUGAACAAUGGAGACGACGUUAACUGAAAUGGCUUGUAGAAAGUGAGAUGAGCUUGGAGCUUGAAAUCUCUCGUGUGUAUCGAGUUUCCAUCGGUGUAACUAUAAUUCAACACAUCCAAGACUUGAGCCACAAUCGUAUGAAAUCUCAUUGCCACCAAGAUUUAACCAAAGACAUCUUAAAAAAAGAUAAUAAUGUGAUGAAAUUUAAAAGAUGUAACACAAUUAAAGAUAAAAGGAUGAUUAGAUAUGUCCCAUACCAUGUCAUGUUGAUUCAGCUGACAAAGCCUCUCAGUAGUCCUAGUCACAUUGCUUUCUCCCUUCGAGCUCAUUUAUUCGAAAAUAUGAGAUGUCUGGCACAAAGACCAUGAUCCUUAAGCUGUUGUAAGCAGGCCUCCACGGCAGUCCUUUCCAAAUUUACCCUACUUGGUGCUAAUUGACCCCAUGCGGUAAUUGAAACCAUCGAUAUGGGUUGUCCUGAUACUCUCAUUCGGUUGGCCUGUGUUUCUCGAAUAGGUACUUGAAAAGAGAUUUUUACUCUUUUAAAAUUCCCGAAUAGGUACUUGAAAAGAGAUUUUUACUCUUUUAAAAUUCCGUGAACCAACUAUCUCAAAUUGCACUAAAGGAGAAGUACCACCUAGAACUUCGAUAAUAUUUUUUAGCCAUCUAAUAUUAUCGAUAAGCUACAUUGUAUGUAAGUGAACUUAGGAAUUAUUCAUGUUAGUAAAAAAACCAAUUACAAGAAGAAAAGAAUAUUACUAUGUUGGGAAUUAUUCCUCUGCUUCGAUCGCCUUUUGGAAAGUCAAUGACGUGAUUAGGGAAGUGAAUUCCUGGAGGACGAGCCAGCGGUGGCUCCUCAAAAAUGUAGUGUCCACGGCCGCGGCCACCUCCGCGGCCACCACCACCACAGCGAGAAGAACUUCCACUUGCCAUAGUUAGCCCAAACUGUCCAAAUAAAAUUGUUAUAAGAUAAUUUACCACCAUUUUUCUUAACUAGUCAACUUUGUCACCAAUAAUACAUUAUCAUAUAGGCACAUCAUGUACAUUAAAAUAAAUCUAGACCAUCAUUUCAUAGCCAUCCACAAUUCUAUCACAAUGCUACCCGUGAAUAUCUACAUAUCCUCUAAGAGAUAUAGCCUUAUGCCAUAAUUGUAUCACAAAAAAUAAUUACUUAGCAUCCAAUACAAAUUGGUAUCCAAUUCAAGCAAAAUCAUAGCUAUUUUAAUCCAAUACGGGUAGCAAAAUUAUUUUAACGCAUUAAAAUAAAAAUUAUCAAAAUAAAGAAAACCUAACCAGGGAGUACGCAUGGGGGAGGCGGGGGAGGGAGAGGCGCGGUGAUGGUGAUGAUGACGAGGGCGAUGGGCGACGGAGCCGGGGACAGGGCGAAGACGAUAGCGACGUAGUUGGGGAUGGGGUGGUGGCGGUCGGGGAUGGGACAACGACAACAGUGAUGGAGACAGAGACGGGGAUGGGAUGGGGCUACGGCGACUGCUAAUUUUUGGAAACUGCUAAGUGUUUGGAGAAGACGUAGUAUUUGUAGGUGGGACACUUUAGUACUGGUGCUAGCCUUUGCCCGGUACUAAAUUCCUCCAUUUAGUACCGGGCAUGCUUCCAACCGGUACUAAAGUUGUCAAAUUGGUGGGAACUGAAACUGCCCACCUCUAGCAGUUUUCUUUCCCGCGCACACUGUCUUAAUUCUAAUAAAAUGUUUCAAUAAUUACGACAAGGUUGUCACAUGUAUAUAUGUAUAUAUAUGAAAUAGUAGAGAUAAAAAUUCAUCACAAAUAUUAACUAGAGUACAUUACAUAUUAAAUCCAUCGUACAUAUUAAAUCUUAUAUAAAUGAGAUACUUAGGAUCGUCCACAUCAUGAUCGUUAAUCAUCGCAACAUACAAACUAUGAUUAAUAUCGAUUCCUAAGAACCCAUCGACAUAAUAUAGCGCAUAUAUGUAUCCACUAUCCCUAGCCUUGUAGGGCAUGUGGAAUGUCUCUCCAAUUCUCACUGAAAUCAUGGAUGAUGAUAAGGUAAUGUCAGCUUGCCAACCACCACGUACUUGACUCGGGUCAGCUCUUGUGAAUGUCCAGUCAAUGUUCCCCAGGCGUAGGACUUCAUUUAGACCUUCAUCGACGUGCAUGAAGCCAUUAUACAGUGCAUCCUUGAGUCAAAUGGCAAUCAAUAAAAGUGUUACUAAACAUAUUGCAAAUUAUUAAAAAAAUAAUGACUAACUGUAAUUUACAUACAUUGGGCGAUUGAUGCACUGGUGAUAUCCGUUUAGGCAUUUGUGUGACGUCCGGCUUAUCGUAUUCGAACGCUUUAAUCUUAAAUUAACUGUAGUUUGGAAAUACGUGGUUUGUCUGACGUUCUAUUUGGAUUAGUGCCUGCCUCACAGCACUACAUAAGGCAACAUGUGGCUGUUGUGCAGCAAUAGAAUUGACAUGGAUAAUAAUCAUUAGACAAGUCUUUGCUCCCGCAUGCCCGCAGAAUUAAAGGAUAGAGAAACCACAUAUUUUCCUUCUGUUGGACUCAUUUGUUCAUGUAGCACCAUAGGAGCUUGUUCAGUCACAUUAGUCGUAACCACUCGAUUAGUGAAACAAGCUUCAAUAAAAAUUAUAAAAAAAUAUUAGUACAAUGUAAUGAGUAAUAAAAAUCAGUAUUAGAGUACAAAGGAUGUAAGUACCACGCUUCGGUGUAAGUGCGGUUGUGUAAUGGGCACGGGGUCCAUGACCGAUGAGGAAGGAAGCACUAGCAGGAUGCGCUAGGGGAUCGAGGGGAAAUGACGGGAUAUCGUUCAACGCUACGAUGUAUUGGCAUUUUUUCCUACAAAUUUUUAUCAAAUACAUAUCAUUCACAUGAGAUACAAAAAUUAUUGGUAAAAAAUAGAAUUAUUGUUAAAUUAGAGUGGCAUCCUGAAAUCAACAUUUUUUGCUUUCCAUUUCAUACCGUUAGCACACUGGAAAUGCUGCAAUAAAACUCUCCAUUCUCCUCAUUCUAAAAUACCCUCCAUCCUCCUCAUUCUAAAAAAAUCAACAAGUACUCCAUUUGUAACAUAAAACUCAUUCUUAAAAACGCUUCAUUCUCCUCAAUCUAAAAUACUCUCAUCAUUCUAAAAAAUCAACAAGUACUCCAUUUGUAACAUAAAACUCAUUCUAAAAAACGCUUCAUUCUCCUCAAUCUAAAAUACUCUCCUCGUUCUAAAAAAUGCUUCAUUCUCCUCAUUCUAAAAUAUUUUCCUCAUUCUAAAAAAUUAACAAAUACUCCAUCAGUAACAGAAAACUAAUUUCAAAAACUCUCAAAUCUCCUCCGCUCUCCUCCUUCUACAAAAUCAACAAGCUAAGCACUCCAUUUGUAACAUAAAAUUCAUUCUAAAAAAUUCUCCAUUCUCCUCAUUCUAGCUAACAUACUCUCCAUUCUAGCUACAAAACAUAAAACAUAGAAUACUAACCAUGAGAGGAGAGAGUUGCUAACCUUUACCUCCUCCCCUAAGAUCAAGUGAAGAAGCCCGAGCUCUCAGUCAAAUGGUUGAGCUUAGGCUCAGGGAGGAAGAAGUAGCUCAUUUUAUAGUGUUACCUUUAGUACCGGCUGGUGGGUAGAGCCAGUAGUAAAUGGUUGCAUGUUAGUACAGAUACCAGUCGGUACUAAAAUGCAUAAACACCAUUUAGUACCGGCUCCACCUACCAGCCGGUACUAAAUGGCUUUCCGUCGGUGGCCACGCGGUCCACAUACUGUCAUUUAGUACCAGCUGAGACUCCAAACUGGUACUACAGGGGCUCCAGUGACACUAUGCAUGACGAUCGGUACUAACGCACGAAUGCUCAAUUUUUCAGUAGUGACCAGUACUGGUUUCUCUUGAUGAGGACGCGGUUGGUCGCAUCAUGUCCGAUAUUGGAUAUGAAUAUGUGCGCGUCGGUCGAAAUGAGAUGUUCGUGAUAGCAGGGGAACAUAUGGGCCACAUUAAUCACCUUAAACUGAAGGAUCGAAUGGAGCAAGAAUUGGAAAAGAAGAUUUAUAGUGCCACCUACAUGGACCAUGUGCUUCACUCCAUUGCUCGAUGCCUUCUUCCAGAUUCAGAAUUCGCAGUAAGGACCUUCGAAACUAUCGAGGGGCGACAAGAAGAACUUUUACGGGAACACGAGGAUCUUCUUACACAAUUUGGCCUACUAGAUAACCCAUGGGAGUACGAUGAGCGCUGGUAUUCAUGCUGUUGUUCUUUGGAAAUACUUGGCCAGACAUAUUCAUCGGAUUCAGAUGAGAGAUGACUGCACAGAACUACUGCGUACUCUUUGGCGGGAGAUAUACCAUGCCAUUAAAAGAGUUUCUGACUCCAGCCGUCCCACUUCAAAUCUUUGUCUUAUAGAGUUGUUUAAACUGAGAGAAGUUUUGCAAUCUCAACUAGAAUCGGCAAAGAUUGCCAACAUUCUACCUAAUUAUUUUCUACGGCGCAAAAAAGGCACACAGAUGUUGCAGGCGUUCUCAGAAAAGCAACUCCUGAAGUGGUGGAAGGAUAACAGCCGGAAUUACCCGACGAUGGCUCGGAUGGCAAGGGACGCUUUGGCCAUGCCCAGAUGCAGAAGCUUUCUUCGGAGCAAAUGGCCCACGUCACGAGCAUCCUACGUGGUUACUCCAAGGAAGCAUUUGGAGACCUACCUUAGGAAACGAGCAAGAGGAAGAUUAUGUACUAUGUUCGGAAUUUUGUAAUAAUCUCUGCUACUCCUGUUGUAUGGGAACUCGUUUGUUGCAAAUAUAUUCCACUCAUGUUUGCUUCCCCAACCCCAGCCAACGAUUUUAACUCAAAAGUCAUGGUGGUGCAGUGCAGAAUGCAUAGGAAGAGCUCUACAUACUACCCAUCUUUCUUAUGUAUGCAGGAAUAGCAGUAUCAUUAUUCGUUAAUUCAUUCAGUGAUUCGUCUAAACCAUGUUCCUCUAACUAUAGCACCCCAGCCAGUUCGUCCUGUUCGUCCCUGUUCCCCAACCAUCAAUACUAGCUAUGUGAUCGUUGUUCGUUAAAACGGUGAACUUGAGCAGGAGAUGUAUACCCAGCACUAUGCCCAAUAAGCAUCGAGAACAAAAUAUUUCAAUCUACAAGAACCAUCUGUAGAACAGAACCAUCAUCACCAAAAGCACUAAUAUGAUUUCGCACAACUGAGAGCAAAGUACUUUCGGAAUUUGGGGCUAACACACGUAGAUGAAUGGGAGGAACUUGGCAGUGCCGUUCCAAGUUCCAACUGGUCACCUUCAGGCUUCAUUACCGAGGUAGAGCAAAAUCUAUUGUAGUGUUUGCAAGCAAAAGAACAAGGCUUAAUCAGAAAAAUGUAAGAUGAGGGGUCUUGGUCAAAAUUAGAAUGUGGCAAAGGACAUGUCAUGUCGAAAUCUCUACGAUAAAGAUAAGAAAGGGAAACCAACCAACAAAAUGAUAUGUAAAACAGGCAGCUGCUCAUGGUUAAAUGGGUAAGCCUAAGCGUACAGCAGUGCAGACCAUAAUAAGCACAUUGGUAUAGUGAGCAGGAAACAACUCAACAGCAGCAGGAGAUGAUCUUUAACCUACAGUUAAGAACAACCGGUGUAAAAAUAAAUGACAUACUGCCCCAGGUUCCAACAAAGAUAACCGAUACAUAAUCACCAGUACUUUUAAGGAUCUGGAAGAUAGCUCUGUUACUUUAUCAAAUUUUGACAAUAAUCGACAGUUUCCAAUAGGGACCAUCAGUGAUUUUGCUGAUGAGUGCUCAGAUUUCCUGACCAAAAUUUGCUAAGGCACUCUGUCAGGUCCUAAUCCAUACAGAAUAAAGGGAACAUCCUGAAACAUUAAAUCAAGAUGCAGUAGUGCCUGAACCAUUCUCUUUGUAUUAUGUCCCUAGCCAUCAUCAGAUGCGCUUGGUCAAACCUACCAGGAUGAUUACCAAAACAGUAAUGAGAAUGAUGAUGGCAAUACAAAGAACUACUACUCAAUAACUGAUGGCACUCCAAAUUUUAAACUAACAUAAUUUAAACAAUAUUAUUUGCUACAACAGUCCCAACAUUUAAAUGUCACUUAACUAGUCUAUCGAUACAGUUGAAAUUAUGGAGCUUUAAAAGGACACUAGGGAACUUUAGAAUGAACCCCAGAUAUAUGAGAAAAAUCAUUCUUACAGAGAGAAAAAGAAUGAAUAUAUUCAGACAAUAUACAUCCAUUAUUCACUACCUUACUAGCAGAUAAACAACACUAGCUGCCGUUGUUUCUAUGAGUAGAAAUCAUAAGAUAAAACAGAGCUAAGCAUGAUCAUUCUAAACUUUUAAUUUACAGACAACAUGCAACAUAAUGCUCUCCAAAGCAAACAAUAUAAAUUAGACUGACACACUAAAUCCACUGAUUUCACCAUACAACACCCCAAGUCCAGACCGUUGUGAUGCUUCGACAUUUGCAUCCCAUGUAUGGUGUAUAAAUUAUGAAAUGUGUUCUAAAAUGCAACACCCCCAUCUCAUCAACAUGUCAGACAACAGAUGCAACACAUUUUAAUUAUCACGCACAACUUCAGCAUAUGGAAACACAAAAUCAGCAAGGGAAAUAUGGACAACCAACAUGAAUUCCCACAUCCAAUUGCAGAAAUACAAAAAGAAAGUAUGCAAUGGGUUUCACCUUGGGAGAGGCAGCUCCAGCAUGCCGAGUCGGCGGCGAUGCAGGACCGCAGCCGCGCGGCCGCCACCGCGCUGUGCAGCGGCAUGAGCGUGUCCAGGCUCGCCAGCGCCGCCGCCACAACGGGCCUGCAACAGGCAGGGAUCAAGAAAAGGCACCCCAUUUUCAGGCUUCCAGUAUCGCUCAAAGCAAAGACCUAGCUAAUGGCAAGAGCACGCAGAAGGAUUCGGGGGGUUUGGGCAUCACCUGCGGAUGCGCGGUGGCGCGAGAGGGGACCUCGCCGCCUGGAACAACCUCUCCACCGGGGAUCUCGACCGGAGCGCCGCGGACCUCACGGCGGCGGCGGAGCGGCACAAGGACGCCAUGGUUUCUCGCGAUGGAGGACGGGGACGCGAGGCUGGGCAAACCUUACACAAAAGCCUGGGUAGACUGGGCUGGGCUAAAGCCCAAUUUCUCAGAUAUUGGUCCAAUCGAGCCCCCCAUGAGGGAAAGCUCCGUAACCAUCAAGCCCAUGCCCAAAUUGAAAAACAGUUCUUUUUUUCCUUCUUGUGCUUUGCAAAUUGCAACCUUCUUCAACCUUGCACGAGUCCUCUCGGUGGCACGAAAGAAUCACUGUGGGCAUAUAGUAUAAUAACAGGACAAAUAAAUAGUAGUUGGAGAAAUUGAGGGGCUUUGCUGCAGCAAGUUCUAUCUAGAAGAUUUGGGCGCCUCUGAAGGUCAAGUUCUUCAUGUGUCAAGUUCUUCAUGUGGCUUGCCGUCAAGGAUAGACUAUGACAGCGAAAAGGAGACAUAGGCAUGGGUUGCGAGACCACACGACCUGUGCACUUUGUGAUCAAGAAUUAGAGACAGCUGACCACAUCUUUGUAAAGUGUUCUUGCACACAGGAGGCCUGGCAAGCAGCUAGCAGUAUGCUGCACAUGCAAAACCAAGCGCGGAGUCCUGACAUGACGACAAUCGAUUGGUGGCUUCAAAAGAGACUGGGGCUGAAUAAGCUGAAGAAAAAAGAAUGGACUCUGUAUUCAUGUUAAUCUCUUGAAAAAUCUGGAAAGAGAGAAAUGACAGUGUUCAGCAGACAUCCUGCCAACACAGCUGCAAGGUUGUUCAAUGACAUUCUAGAAGAGGCUCAGCUUUGGAUCAGCGCCAGCACCAAGCGCCUGACCGCUUUGGGAUGGCCGGCUGCAGUAGGAGUCCUAGGUCCCAUUUAGCUUCCUAGUUAUGUUUACUUCCUAUUUGGUUGUUUUCUUUCUUGGCGUGUGUGCCCGGAUGGCCUGUGUUAUAAGACAACUCCUAAUUUUCUUCUAAAAUAUAGAGAUACGUAGCUCUCCUGCGUAUUCUCAGAAAAAAAAAUUGGAGGGUCUAAUCCUGCAAGCAUACUGCAUGCCUACCUUUUAGCUACCUAUGUUAAGUGCCCAAUCAUUAUCUAAAAAAAUGUUAAGUGCCCAAUAUGGCUCUGUCUGGCCUCCGGCAUGACGCUGGAUUCACCCCCAAUUGAUCAGGUAUCUAUUAAUACAGCGUGGUUCAUUACAGUUUUAAUUUAGGAGGAAAAUUUAAACCAUGAUGCAAUGAUAAUGCCACAUGUGAGACGGAGAAGAUAUGAUGAUCUGGGACACUUUUGUGGUUCAUCUGGAGCAUGUGGAGCCAUACUUAAAAAAAAAAGCUAAUAAAAGCGACAAAGGAUGAUCAACUUUGCGAAAGGGAAUAUGAAUACUUAUAAAUAUUUGCAGGUGUUUGACUGCAAAAGAUGGAGAUAUAUACAAGGUAGCAGGUGUUGGCUGCCGCGCGUUCUGGGCUAAAGGCUUCCGGCGUGGCUGGAGAUCACCGGAGUUGUCACUGAUCUCCUCGAUCGCUGUCAGCUGCAACACCACCAACCUGCACCCUGCGACCGUGAGUUCCCCAAACUCCUCAGCGUCUGUUUCAAUCGACCAUGGCAGAGGGCGAGAGCGCCCAAGGGCGAAAGCGACCGCGGCGCGACAUGGCGCCCCCGUCCGCCGUGUGGGAGCAUUUCACCCGCUUCACGGACGACAACGGCAGGGACAAAGCACGGUGCAAGCGCUGCCACCAGGUGCUCGGCGCAGCCACCAAAAGCGGCACGAGCACCCUGUGGGGGCACGUCAAGUUAUGCAGCAACCGCGACGGAGUACACCGCGAACCGCACCCAACACCGCCGCCGCCGCCCUGUGCUCCGUUGAGCCCUGCUGAAUCUCCGAACCCCAGCGAAGAUCCGGCUCGGAUGAUCGCGCUGAAUGGAUACGACCCAUCGGUCAUGGGGGACGGCUACUUCAGGAGCUUCGCGCGCCGCCUCAGCCCUGAGUUGAAGCUGCCCUCGCGCCUCGCCGUCGAGGAGGGAUGUGCGAUGGCAUUUUCGACGACACAAGGAAGGAUCUCUUCUCCAGGCUACAGCGGACCUCUGGGCGGGUCAGCCUAGCUGUAGGCAAAGCUGAAGCUGUCGAGGGGGUGGUCUUGUACACAGCGUGCCACUUCAUCGACGACGACUGGAACCUUCACAGGAUGGUCAUGGAUGCUUACGAUAAUGUGCCUUGGCCUCUCUACCAUGGCCCACUGUCCGGAGUCCCUGAGGUUUCUGGAGUUCCUGGUGUUUCACUGGAGGUGGCUCAUGAUCUCUCUACUCUGGCCAUUGACCGUGUCAUGGAUGACGGUACCGCAUCAGGGUCAGAGCGUGAUGUUCUGGACAGGGUGUUCAUGGUGGCACGGCCUAAAUGGGACAUACGUAAUCACACCGAACCCAAAGAUCACAUUGAGCAAGAGUAUCCUACCACCCACCCAAGGAGGAGAGAACUGGUUGUCUGUGACACCUACAUGGACAUUGUGCUCCUCCUGAUUGGUCGACGCCUUGUCGCACACCCGGAUUUGAUAAUUGAUACCAUCGCUGCACAUCAUAUAGAGUCAGGCGUGCAGGAUUUACGUCUGACUAGAAAAAGGCACCAGCAUCUUCUUUCGCACCUUGGCCUAUCUAGCUGACCUUCGGGCAUACAACCAGCACCCCACCUCAAAUCUUUGUCUUGGAGAGCUGUUCAAUGUGAGGCAAGUGUUACAGUUUGAAAAGGCACGAGCAGGUGGAGACAAUGCACGUGUUCUUCAAGAUGCUAUCAACACUUUGGACAGGAGGAUGCAUGAUUCAUACCUGGUAUGGUCUAUACCACUUGUACUGGAUCCCCGGUACAAACUCACAUACAUAGAGUUCAGCUUCAGAAGAGCAUUCGGUUCCAAGGAAGCUGCAUACUACAUCUCCGAGGUAACCCAAAGAUCAGGAAACUGUAUACUGAAUACACUGAACAUGAUGGUGCAAUCUAUGGUGCAGAUCCAGAUGGUGCUACAGCGACGGCCAUUGGUAGCGCUGGUCUGCUAGAACAAGCAUGGGAUGAGCACUGCCGGGCACAUGGUGAGGGUGGUAUGCUGCCUCCAGUAGCCAGCAGUUAUCCAGAAGCCGAGAGGGAACUAGAUCGUUACCUGAAAGAUCGCCUAGCCCCUCGAACAGAAGGUUUUGACAUUCUGAACUGGUGGAAGGCUCACAGCUUGGAGUACCCAACAGUGGCUUGGAUGGCGAGGAACGCUUUGGCCAUGCCCACAUGCAGCCAGCUUUCUUCUGAGAAGGUAGCCCAUGUCAGGAGCAUCCUUCGUGGCUACUCCAAGGAGGCGUAUAAGCAUCAGGUAGGUCUAACACAAUGAAGCAGCACCUCAAGUAAGGGCGAGUGUGUUUGCAAAGUUCCCCAGUUUCGUAGUCUUUCAACCUUAUUGGUGAGGUCACUUACUCAUUACCAUUUAUGCUGUUGUAUGCCAAAAUGCUGCACUCAUAAAAAGACAUGCCACAAUUGUUCCAUUGAUCAGGUGGUGAUAGACAAAUGACCUGUUUUACUCUUUUAUAGGAAUCAGUCUGCUCACGUGAUUCCAUGUUUCCUAAUUCCCAUGAUUUAAUUUAUAUCAUCAAUAGUUCCCAUAGGGAAGGGGGGGGGGGUGUUCAGGUGGUUUUGCUGCUGCGAUCUCCUUAAAAAAUUUAAUAAGACAUGCUGCUAGAAAACAUUUAACCAUGACAUAGCGGGCAUGAACAAGUCUUUCACACUGUGUCCCAGCCAUGAUCACUUGAUCAGAUGCGCUUUAUCAAACCUACAAGGAUUAAUACCAAAACAGUAAUGAGAAAGGAUACUGACAGAGUGACAGUACAAGAGAACAAAGUACUCAACGAGCGAUGCAUUGCCAACUCAAAUCUACACAAAUCUAAACAAUUAUUGCCUUCUACAACAAUCUGAUUAUUUAGAUAUCCAACUCAACUAGCAUAGAACCAUGCAUGAAUGUGCUAGCCAAAGUGCAGUUCAAGCCCUAAGAAUCCUUAAGACUAUUGAACAAGAACAGACCCAUAGGAGAAAAGCACGCUUAUAAAGAGACUGAAUAUAUUCAGACAGAAACAUCACAACAAUUUUUCAUUCUUGAAUUUCCUACUUGAUAGUGAUAAAUACAAACAUCCGAGACUAUGUGUCACAUACAGAGAUCCGGAUAACCCUGAACCCUAGCAGCCCGACCUCACCGAUGGCGGCAGCCGGACCACAAGGGCAGGGAUAGAAGGGGCUAACCCUAAGAGAUUGAUAUUCUCAUUGCUUGCCUUCCAUUGGUACAACUCCUCUCCUUAUACUUAUAUAGAGAGGAUUACUUAAUGCCUGCCUAAGUAAGAGAUCUAAUCUUAUCCUUAACUUAACCCUAAUGGGCCUGGCCCAAUCAGCCCAGCCGAACUGCCCAUGACACUAUGCAUCGUCUCUGAAUCUUGGUUUUGUAAGUACAAAAUCAUACAAUCGUACUGAGAGUUCCAAAUUUCUAAGCUACUGCCAAUAAGAAAUAAAAUGCUCUAGAAAGCUAAAGAAAGUUCAUCAGAAACUCCUAAUGGCAGUGUUCAUGUAUCACCUUACACCGAUGGUACACCUAGACUCCUGUAUCCCUUCGUAAGUGCAAUAUGAAUUGUGUUCUGAACACAUAAAUGCGACAUCCUGUACUUCUGAGGAAAAUAUUUCACAACGAAUACAACACAUCUCAAUUGCCAUUUGCCACACAAACUAAGCAGGGAAAUUUCAGCAUCAGGCAGCACAGAAUCAGCAACAGCAAUGUGACGAAUCGACCAAGAUUUCCACACACAAUGGCACAAUCGUAGAAACGCAAAAUUACAAAAAGAAGGAUGCAAAGGCGUCACCUUUGGAGGGCAGCUCCAGCACGCCGAGUCGGCGGCGAUGCACAACCGCGCUGUGCAACGGCAUCAGACACUCCACGCUCGCCAGCGCCGCCGCUACAACGGGCCUGGGAGUGGCUCCCGAGAAAGAGGCACAUUUUCAGUUAUUCAGAAACGAAGAACUAGUUAAUGUUGAGAAUACACAAAAAGAUUGAGGGGGUUGGGCGCGACCUGCGGAUGCGCGGCGGCGCGAAAGGACACCUCGCCGCCUGGAACGGCCUCACCGUCGGGGAUCUCGACCGGAGAGCCGCUGACCUCACCUCACGUCGGCGGCGGAGCGGCACAAGAACGCCAUGGGCCCAUGGUUUCUCGCGACGGAGAACGACGGUGACGGCAAAAAGUCAGGGUCCAUGGUUUCUUGCAAACAGGCGCAGGGGGUUUCUCGGAGACAGGGCUAACUUUACCUCAAGUCAUGUCGGAUACUUUCUUUGGAUAGUUAGUAUUAAAUAUAAGCUAAUUAUAAAACUAAUUGCACAAUCCCUAGGUUAAAUCACGAGACGAAUCUAUUAAACCUAAUUAGUCCAUGAUUUGACAACGUGAUGCUACCGUAACUAUUCACUAAUGAUGGAUUAAUUAGACUUAAUAGAUUCACCUCUAUUAGUUAGCUCAUAUUUAAUCCUUCUAAUUAGCAUCCGAACAUCCGAUAUAGUAGGGUUAAAAUUUAGCCCUGCUAUUCAAACGAGACCCUAGUAUAUCUCGACCCAACUCUAUCAAGCCCAUGGUCCACGGUGGUCCACUGGGGCAGAGCAUUUUGCAAAGAUUCAUUUUGGACAUUAUUACACUAAAAAAACUCUGAACAAAUAUUUACACCUACAAUUUACAGAUGAAAAAAAACACUUUUCUUGGACUGUGGAGCUUGACCACUAACUUUUUGUGCCGUUUCAUUUUCCACAACACCUUUGCUUCAAUUCCAGUGACUGAGCUAGUCCGAACGAAAUUUGCUAGAUUAAAGUGAAACGGAUUAGGUAAAUGUUGCUUGCACAAGCAGGUGGACACCGGACAAAGAGGCAGCCAGCCAUGCGGACACAGCAGGGGAGCAGCCCAGGCCUUUGCUUUUAUCACAUUGCCCUGAACCUGAAGCUGAAUGCGACAACUCUUUCUCCCUCGCAUUUGUUACUCGCUUCUGGUCUCAACAGUGACAGCAGGGGCAGCUAAGCUAACCACUUCCACUUUUUCAUUCCCACUCACUGCCUCCCUGUGCUAAUCACUAAUCACCAUCCGUCCAUUAUCCACUGCAUUUUUUUUCUGAUGAAAUUGUGUCAAACAAUGUCUGCCUGACAAAUCUUCAGAAACAGCUGGGGCGUUCUUUUGACCGAGAAUUUGAUUUUCAAAGCGUGUUUUUAUCAUUGGUCUCGUGCUCGUGCUGAAGAACGAGGAAUUUUAUUUGGGAUUUGACAAAUCUUGAAAUGGUGACCGAGUGCAAGAGUGCGCGUGUAUGACUGCCUCUGGUCAAUUCUCUGCUAGUGCUUUGUUGGACCUGCUACAAGUCUACCAGCCGGUCAGUGGGGCACCAUUGGCUUCUUUCUUUUGUUUCUUUUUAAUCCGUGUAUGAUUCUCUACAUGAGUUCCAUUAACAUUUGUUUUCAUUGCCUCCUUUUCCUUUGGGUACCCACUGAGGGUACCACGGAUAAAGGACCAAGGUUUUCUUUAUGCAACCCAUUUUUAUUUUAUAAUUUAGUCUAGCUCAGGUUCAAUGGUUUUAGAAGGUUUUUGACCGCCUCUAUCAAACCAUCUAUGUUUGUACUUCAAAAUUAAAAGAAAGAGAGGCAUACAUGCGUUGUUCUUAUGGCAAUGUUUCCUUUUUUUUAAUCCAGCAUGCUUGAUCAACCCUAUGAAUGCAUUUGGGAGAUUGAAUCCGAUAAAUUCUGAGAUUAGCAGAUUUGCCACAAUCCUCGAUGUCACAUGUGCUUUUUGUCUGCCACUGGAAAAUAAACAUAUUAAAGAUUCAAAUCCAAAUAGAUAAGGUCAUGCAAUAUUUCAUUUUGUGGCUAACCAUGACAUAGAAAUCACCUUGACUCUUAGUUUUUAUUACAUGUACAUGGUUCUUAGGUAACCAAUUUUUAUUUUACCUCUACGUGGACAGAAGCAAAACUUUUUAAAAAAAACAUACACUCACAUUUCAGUAUUUUAAGAAGAUUCCAAACGUAAUGAUGAAAUACAAAUCAUUAUCCAGGAGAAUAUGUUUCUGUAACCUAUUAACGAAUAGCAAAAACCAUUGGACACGUUUUUCUAAUGUUAUAGGACAAGAUACCAUCUUUUAUUUGACCAUAAAUCUUGCUGAAUUGGUACUCGGAUAACCUAGAAGAUUGUACAUACAAAAGUAUAAAAAGGAGGAGAUACGAACAAUUAUGCAGGGGGAAUAUGUCUCGUGGCAGCAUCACUGUGGAUCGGAAUUGUUCAGCGCUGGGUGCGCCACAAAAUUUACGGCCGUCUUUCGGAGGCUAUCCAUUUCUCACGAAUUUGGAUUUGGUCCAAAAAGGCCUCGCCGUCGUCUUUAAUUUCCUCGCCCGAUUUGGCUCGUCGCCCACCUACUGUCUCCCUCUGCGCCGGCCCCCAGGAAGAGACCCGAACGCACGCACGGACGAACACCUCGGCUCCUCCUCCGCGAAUUCCACCCAAAUCCCCAUCAGGCUCCCGCACCAAUCCGUCCAAUUCGCAGCCUUUCGCGUCUCCCCCGGGCCAAUCCCUGCGGGAAUUCGUGAUAAAGCCCCGGUUUUUCUCCGCCUUUUGCUUUCUUUCGCUCCCCCCGCCCCCGGCCCCCUUUUCCUUUUUGACUCCGCCGGCCGGUCUGGCCCUUUAUUGCUGUUCCUGAUUGUGUUUUCUCGAAGAAAGGCGCGGUCUUGGGAGGGCGUCGAUCGCGGAUUCGGCUCCGGAGGCGUCGAUUUGAUCCCGAGGUGCGGUUUUCCCCCAAUUUCGUUUCGUGGUAUGUGUGGAAAGAAUUUUCAUUUCAGCUUCUGACGGUGCCUGUCUGCCUGGUAAUUUGAUCAGGUAAUAAAGGGAUUAUGGAUUUGGGGAGACUUGUCUAGCGCGGUUUUGAUCGGGACUUGGUCGGGGGAUCAAUCCGUCAUGAUUAAGCAAAUCCUCGGCCGGCUUCCCAAGAAGCCGGCCAAGUCCGGCGAGAAGGAGUUGGCCGGAGCGGGCACAUCACUGCCCAGCCCGACGGCCGAUGCGAGAACCACAACGGAUUUGACCAUGUCUAGCAGGCUCGUCAAUCCCAACAGCUAUGCCUCCACGGUCACAAAUCCCGGCCAGAAUUACGCGGCCAGGAACGCCGGCGUCAGCAACGGAUUCACGGCCUCGGCCGGGUACGAGGCGCUCCCGAGCUUCCGGGACGUGCCGGCUUCCGAGAAGCCCACCCUGUUCCUCAGGAAGCUGGCCAUGUGCUGCGUGCAGUUUGACUUCACAGACCCGACCAAGGAUGUGAAGGAGAAGGAGAUCAAGAGGCAGACGUUGCUUGAGCUGGUGGAUUAUAUCACCUCAGCCACUGGGAAGUUCCCGGAGCCCGUCGUGCAGGAGGUCAUCAAGAUGGUGUCUGCAAAUUUGUUCAGGGGGCCAACCCCUGCUCCGAGAGAGAACAAGGCACUCGAGUCUUUUGAUUUGGAGGAGGAAGAGCCUGUCAUGGAUCCAGCAUGGCCUCACUUGCAGAUUGUAUAUGAACUGUUCUUGAGAUUUAUUCAGUCUCCUGAGACAGAUGCGAAGCUGGCCAAGAGAUACAUAGAUCACGGUUUCAUUAUCAGGCUUCUUGAUCUCUUUGACUCAGAGGAUCCUAGGGAGAGGGAGUACUUGAAAACAAUACUUCACAGGAUCUAUGGCAAGUUCAUGGUGCACCGCCCAUUCAUCAGGAAGGCAAUCAAUAAUAUAUUCUACAGGUUCAUAUUUGAGACAGAGAAGCAUAAUGGAAUAGCGGAGCUGUUAGAGAUUUUGGGGAGUAUAAUCAAUGGUUUUGCUUUGCCGCUCAAGGAAGAGCACAAAUUGUUUUUAGUCCGAGCAUUGAUUCCACUCCACAAACCAAAAUGUGUUGCCAUGUACCAUCAGCAACUGUCAUACUGUGUCACUCAGUUUGUUGAGAAAGAUUGCAAGCUUGCUGAUACUGUCAUAAGGGGUUUAUUGAAGUAUUGGCCCAUCACGAAUAGCUCAAAGGAGGUUAUGUUUUUGGGUGAGCUAGAGGAGGUACUGGAAGCUACCCAGCCAGCAGAAUUCCAGAGGUGUAUGGUGCCACUUUUUCGUCAGAUUGCCCGCUGUUUAUGCAGUUCUCACUUUCAGGUAAGAAGGGUACCAGAGUGCCAAUUAUACCACAAACAUAGAAUAUUUACUUGUUUUGCUCAUGGAACUUCUCAUAUUCAAAAUCUGGCUCAUUGCUUGGGACAUGACUAUCAUUUAUAAGUGAAAGUCAAAUAGGCUGUAGCAAGCGAUAAGUCAUGCGUGUAAAGUGCAUACUAGUUCUGCACAUGUUGAUACAUAAACAGUCAUAUUGACUCUGAGCCUCUUUCUACCUGCCACUUCCACAUGAUGGAAUGUUAGCAGUACAGAAACUCUGUCUAGUGUCCAUUUCAUUUAUUUCUCAUUAACUCCUUUCCAGAAGCCAAACAUUUUUUCUUUGGAUCAUACUGUAAUUGAACCUAUUUAUUCUUCUAAUUGUUCCUUAUGUAGUUAAGCUGUUAAUUCUAACUGGCCUUUGAAUUUUCCUUUGUACUACAAAUUCUGUACCAUAUUCUCAUGAAUAGUCUCACUGAAAUUAUCCCAAGAAACUAUACUGGUUUAAAGAAGCUUAGGAAAAGAUUUGUCAUGAGAAAUACUGUAGAAAUUUGGGCUUGCUGUAACGAGUCCAGUUUGCUAUACGGAAGCUAACAUCCUUCUGAAGUCAUAAACUCAUAAAUCAUAAUUCACAUUUAUCCCAUUGUGUUGCAUAUAUGUAUGUAAUGCUAUUUGUGUCAAAUAGUUUGCUCUACCAAAUAUCAAAUGAUCGUUUACCAAGGUGCUCCUCAUGUAUACUCUCAACUAGCAUUGCAUCAUUUCCAAAUAUGGUGUUGGAACGCUGAAUUAUAGACAUCCUUAGUUUCAUCUUAUAUCAUCUCCGUGCACCCACUUGGUUUUCCAUUUGUUUGACCUAUUACACUACUUAUUCUUACCGAAGGAGGACUGUUGAAAACCCUGUGGCUGUUAUGGAGCAUGCUAGUUCAUUUAUUCCUAUUAUAUGAUUUUUUUUUACCUGAGUGAGGCAGUUGAAAGUAUUAGUCAUACGGCUUUUCCCUGUUUCAAGAGUUUCCAGAAAGCACCAACUGAUGUUUCUUUGACCACGAUUUUGAGCUUCCUUCUUUUUCUCAAAUAUGCAGGAGAGUUGUGUACCAUUGCAUCAAGAAAAGAAUAAUAGGGUACAAAGGGCCCACACACGCAUGCAAAACACAGACACCUAAGACAUUAAGAACAUGCCACUGAAAGAACAAAGUGCGAAUAAAACAAGAACUAGGACGAAAACAGCCUAGGCAACCCCUUUUAACAGACCUUUGAGCUCCUUAGCUCCAGCUGCACACCAGAGAGUUCCCUCAGAAACUGUCGAGACCACACAAUUUUGAGUUUCCUUAUUAUCUUUGUUAAGCCAUUUUCUUUUCUGCAUCUGCUUGAACUCAUGGAACAUUAAUAUCUAAAUGUUGAGAAUUACCAUCUGUUUCUCAAUCUUUUACUUGAUCAAUUCAUAAUGAGUGUUUUCUGAGAGUCAGUGACAAAACAAGCUGUGUCCUCUAGUAAUUCCAUCAAACUGUUUGCUCUAGAAGCUAACCUUAUAUAACUUCUUUUGUUUUGCAGGUGGCUGAGAGAGCUCUCUUUCUAUGGAACAAUGAUCAUAUCGAAGGUUUGAUCAAACAGAACAGUAAGGUGAUACUGCCCAUAAUCUUUCCUGCGUUAGAACGAAAUACAAAAGGCCAUUGGAACCAGGCAGUUCAAAGCUUGAGUCUAAAUGUUCGUAAAAUAUUCAUGGACCAUGACCCCACACUGUUUGAGGAGUGUCGAAAGAAGUUCGAGGAAGAGGAAGCUCAAGAAGCUAGCGUGAGGUCAAAACGUGAGGCUAUAUGGAAGCGCCUAGAAGAAAUUGCCUUGUCAAAAUCUGCUCAAUGAAGCAGCACAUCUUCCUGAGGCAUAGUUCAUCAGCAGAGUUCCUCUAUCUAGUCUUGCUGACAGCAUAUGAGCAGAUCCUUCUCACUGGAUCAAAUUAGAUGGCUGAUGUGAGUGCUCAUGGAUGGUUGGUUGCCUCGUGUUGCUUGUUACCAAACGUUUUACAGGCUGACAUGUAAAUACGAGGUAGAUGAUGGGCUGCAAAGCUUCAACAGAGCCUCAGGUUCUGUCAGUUGUGUGAUCCACUGGCGAUGAUAUCGGUUUCAUCAUCAGAGGACAAAGGAAAGGAGCUGUUCUGGCUUUCCUAAGAUGCAGGUGACACAGCCUGCAGCUUAGUUUCCUGAUCUGGGGAUGGUUAGGAGCAGAUGAAAGAUCAGCUCUUUCUUGCUGAUGGUAAUUUUGCUGAAAAUGUAAUAUGCUUUAUGUAUGAAUGGUAACUUGAAGGCCAUGCCUUUGUGAUAAUAUGUGACCCGGUGUACAUGUGUUUUGCUUCCAUCAAUGUAUACAGAAAUUUGGAAUGAGCAAUGCUGAUUGCCACCUGUUUUAUCAGAGUUUGGUGUCCUGAGCUGAAUGUUGGCUUCCAUCAUUAUCUAUAGUGUUUGUGUGAACGAAGAUGCAAUAUAGUUGCAGUUCAUACGCUUUAUUACCAUAACUUUUGCCGUCUAGUGUGUUUUUACCAAAAUCCACACUAGAAUAUGCAUGUUUGGAUCUCAAUGGGAUCUCAUAGAGAUUUUUUUUGAUGUUGUACAAUCCUUAAGAGACUGAAACAGUCUCUUUAUAUAGUCACCUCUUGACAUGCGCAGUCGCUACUUUACACCUAUCAGUUUACCGAGCAGGUAAGCCAGCAGGGUCCUGUUGUAGUCGGCCUCAACCAUGGCGAGCAGCGGCGGCGGCGGCGGCUUCAGCUUGGCCACGCGGUCCCUGCACGCCUCGACGUCACGCAGCGCCCUCUUGUACUCGCCGGCGACGUCGGGGCCGCAGUGAUCCGGCAGCCUGCUCCGGACCUUGUCCAUGGCCGCCUCGGCCUCCUGGUACCUGCCGCCGACGCAGGACGCGUACGCCGCCCUCUCUUCCUCGCCGCCGGCGAGCGCCGUCGUGUUCCCGGUGAUGAAGUGCCACGCCCGGCCCAUAGUGUCAAGGUACGCCCAUAUAGCCCGCCACGCGGCGCGUUGAGCGUACUCGCCGGCCUCGUCGACGACCGACCAGGCCAGGGUGUCCUCCUCGCGCAGCGUGUCCACGCAGAGCUGGUACAUUCCCCUUGCCGGCGCCGUCGCGGCGCCGCACACCUCGUGGCAGGCUGCCUCUAUGGUCAUGUUCCUGCGGGCGCCGGGGCAAUUGCCGGCGACGACGGUGAAGCUGAUAGUGAUAGAGAGCGCCACGACAAUCCGGACGAGGAGAGACAUUGCUGGCAUUAGGCUUUCUUUAAAAUGCUUUUGCAUACAACCAUUUGAGAUACAUACAUAUAUACAUAUACGUAUGGUAGACUAGUAGUGGAUUCUUUUAUUGAUGCUCCAUGCAUAAAUGGUCCUGAAAUUAUCCCAGUCAUGUAUGAUGGAUAUCCAAAUGUUGGGUUCUAGACUUCUAGUAUCUUUCUAUAGCUAGUUGUUUAUCUUUUAUAUAAAUUUUAUUGCAAAUUUAUUUCAUUAUGAUUAAAUGAAGAUCUUGUACCAGACCUAGGACAUAUCCAAAAGACACUAAAAAGGCAGUUUUGCUAGAGGGCACACUUUCUUUGAAGUAUUUUGCCAGGCCAGGGGAAUUAAGGGCGACAACUGAAUUGGAUAUCAGAUGAGGUUCAGUCCAAUCUGAAUGUUGCUUAACUGAAUUUGAUAACACAAGAUAUGCAAAUUAUUGUACUGCCAAAUGGAUGCAAAGAGUCCACUCCUUUCUAUAUUGAAAAAAGGUGUGUGAUUACUCAUGGAUGAUAAUCCAUAACCCUGAGAACGCCUCCAAGGUUGCAUCUGGGACAGUUGAAGAUGAGAGAUUGGAGGACACCAAAUCCUGUGCAUAGCUGGAGAUUUGGUUCCCUGCAACACUCACUUUCAGCUUCCAAUUCUUCAGAGAACACAUUUUCUGAAGUAUUUUACCAGGCCAGGGGAAAUAAGGACUACAACUGAAUUGGAUAUCAGAUGAGGUUCAGUCCAAUCUGAAUGUUGCAUAACUGAAUUUGAUAACACAAGAUAUGCAAAUUAUUCUACUGCCAAAUGGGAGAGUUCACUCCUUGCUACAGUGCUAUACUGAAAAUGGUGUGUGUGGUUACUCAUGAAUGAUAACCCAUAACCCUGAGAACGCCCCCAAAGUGCCCUCUGGGACAGUUGAAAAUGAGAGAUUGGAGGGCACCAAAUCUUUGUUCAUAGCUGGAGAUUUGGUUCCCUCCAACAUUCACUUUCAGAAACCAAAUUCUUCAGAGAAGUUUAGUCUAGCUGCAUUACUUGCGCUACAUAUCAUCUGAUCAACUGAACAUGAGAUAUUGGAGGAAACCAAGUCUUGCUUCGCUCUCGCAACAAGAUUUGGUUCCAUCCAAUUCUCAAAUUCAGUUGCCAAAGUUAAAUUCUGAAUUCUGAUGGUCACCACGUCUACUUGAUCUUGCAAUGGCUACUAAUGAAGGUGCUGAAGAUAAGAUGUUGGAGAAAACUGAACUCCUGAUACUGUCACAGAAGGCAAGGAAGAGUUUAGUGUACUACAACUCUUACCAUCAGAGAUACAGAUGUUGGUCUGAAAUGCUUCAAGCUUAUGAGCUGCCCUUUUAUAUACCAGUGCAACCUGAAGCUCCUGUACUGCUGCUACAUUCUGAUACUCUGGCAUGAGUUGUGCAUGUCGAGAAAAGAAGUUCUGCUUUCUAACAAACUAUGACCAGAAAUAUUCUUGGCAGACUUAUUAGAAGGUAAUAGAUUGAUUAUGGGCUAACCCUAGAGGGUAGCUAUAUAGAUGUCUUACAUGGGCCUAUUGGGCCAUAAUACACACAGUACACCAACACUCCCCCGCAGUCUGAACUACCGACGCAGCGGAGUUGCAGACUGGACAUGAAAAGAAAGGCACACACACAAGCCCCCCCACAGACGCAACUAGCCACAGGUGAUGUUGAGGCUGGAGCGAAACUCGGUGAAGGCGGGUGAUGAGAGGCCCUUGGUGAAGAUGUCAGCAAACUGAGAGGUGGUCGGGACGUGGAGGACCCGAACAUCGCCGAUGGCGACCCGAUCCCGGACGAAGUGAAGGUCAAUCUCCACAUGCUUGGUCCGCUGGUGCUGAACAGGGUUGGUGGAGAGGUACACCGCACUGACGUUGUCGCAGUAGACAAGAGUGCUCCGGGAAGAAGGAGUGUGGAGCUCGACAAGGAGCUGCCGAAGCCAGGAUGCCUCAGCCAUGCCGUUAGCGACAGCGCGGUACUCCGCCUCGGCACUGGAGCGGGAGACCACCGGCUGACGCUUGGACGACCAGGACACCAGGUUGCCGCCCAAAAAGACGGCGUAGCCGGAGGUAGAGCACCGAGUGUCCGGACACCCGGCCCAGUCAGCGUCGGUGUAGACAACAAGCUCAGUGGAGGGAGACCGGUGAAGAAGGAGGCCGUAGUCCUCAGUGCCCCGGAGGUAACGGAGUAAGCGCUUCAGAGCAGUGAGAUGGGGCUCUCGGGGAUCAUGCAUGUGAAGGCAAAUCUGCUGAACUGCAUAAGUGAUAUCUAGCCUGGUGAAGGUGAGGUACUGAAGGGCCCCAGCCAGACUCCGGUAUGCAGUAGCAUCUGUCACAGGAGUGCCGGCGGCCUCUGACAACUUGGCCUGAGUAUCAACUGGAGUGGAGCAGGGCUUGCAGUCAGUCAUCCCAGCUCGCUCCAGGAUAUCAAGAGUAUACUGCCGCUGGUGAAGAAAGAGGCCGGCCUGACGAGGCUCAACAGUGACCCCAAGAAAAUGAUGGAGCACACCCAGAUCCUUCAUAGCGAACUCCUGCUGAAGCGAGGUGAUGAUCCGCCGUAGGAGGGACGGACUGGAGGCAGUGAGGACAAUGUCAUCAACAUAGAGCAGUAGAUAAGCAGUCUCAGCUCCAUGGUGAUAAAUGAACAGCGAAGUAUCGGACUUGGCCUCGACAAAGCCCAGCGUCAGGAGGUAGGCAGCAAACCUCGAAUACCAAGCUCGAGGGGCCUGCUUGAGGCCAUAAAGUGACUUGUUGAGCCGGCAGACCAUAUCAGGCCGAGAAGAGUCAACAAACCCCGCUGGCUGGCUGCAGUAAACAGUCUCAGUCAGAGUGCCGUGCAGGAAGGCGUUCUUGACGUCGAGCUGAUGCACGGGCCAGGAGCGGGAGAGAGCCAGUGAGAGAACAGUCCGGACAGUAGCUGGCUUGACCACCGGACUGAACGUCUCGUCGUAGUCGACACCAGGGCGCUGAGUGAAACCCCGGAGAACCCAGCGAGCCUUGUACCGCUCAAGGGUACCAUCAGCCCGCCGCUUGUGAGUCCAGAUCCACUUGCCGGUGACGACGUUGGAGCCAGGCGGACGGGGCACCAGAUCCCAAGUCUGGUUGGCGAGGAGCGCCGCGUACUCCUCUUCCAUCGCGCGGCGCCAGUGAGGAUCCGACAGGGCGCCGCGGACGGAGGAGGGUACAGGAGAAACCUGCGGCGCGCCGGGCAUCGCUGAAAGAGCCCGGGGCUGCAGGGUACCAGCCGCAAGUCGCGUCACCAUAGGGUGAACGUGACGCGGGUGUCGGUGUAGGAGAGGCGGAUGGUACACCGUCGGCGCGACACGGGCAGUCGGGGCCGGUGGAGGUGGUGGUGGUGUAGGCGUCACCGGCGGAGAAGAGUCCACCGGCGAUGACUGAGGCGGCGACGGCGGUGGCGGGGCCGGCUGCAGGUCCAGUGGAGCCGGCCGCGCCCGGCGCUGGUAGACGCGUACGGGCUGCGCAAACCGGACAGCAGGUGCUGCGGGCGGUGCCACCGGUCCCGCGUAGGGCGAAGGGGAAGAAGCAGCACCAGAGGCCGGCACCGUCGGACCCAUGCUAGGCGCAGGGUCAGGGACAGUACCGGUGGACGUCGAGCCCGAGGAGAACCACGGCGGAGCAGUACCUGCAGGACAGAACGGUAGCGGUGGCUGGUCCACCGGGUCAGUGGGAAACAGGGAGGAGAGAUCAGGGUCGGAGGUGGAAGGAGGUGGGGUGGUGGUGGAGUAAGGGAAGACGGACUCGUCAAACACCACGUGGCGAGAGAUGAGGAUCCGCCGAGAAGAGAGGUCAAAGCAACGGUACCCCUUGUGAUCCGGGGAGUACCCGAGGAAGACACACUGAGUCGAACGGGGAGCCAGCUUAUGAGGAGCGGUGGCUGCGGUGUUAGGAUAACACGCACACCCGAAGACCCGAAGGUGAUCGUAACGGGGGGAGGUACCGAAGAGAGCGUGGUGUGGAGUGGGAGCGGGGCAGGCAACAGAAGGUAGGCGGUUAAGGAGAUAGGUGGAGGUGUGAAGACUCUCAGCCCAAAAAGGGGCAGGGAGAGAAGACUGGAACAGAAGAGAGCGCAUGGUGUCGUUCGUGGUACGAAUCAUGCGUUCAGCCUUACCGUUCUGGGAGGAGGUAUAGGGACACGACAUGCGUAGGUGCACGCCGUGAGAGAGGAAGAAGGCACGAGAGGUGGUGUUAUCAAACUCGCGGCCGUUGUCACACUGGACGGCCUUGAUGGUGAGACCGAACUGAGUGGACACCCAAGCGAAGAAGUGGAGAAGUGUGGGAAAAGUAUCAGACUUGGCACGCAAGGGAAAAGUCCAAGAAUAAUGAGAGAAAUCAUCAACCACAAUAAGAUAGUACUUGUAGCCAGAAAUGCUCAGAACAGGAGAUGUCCAUAGAUCGCAAUGUACAAGGUCGAAUACAUGGGUCGCAUGUGAAGAAGAGGUAGGAAAAGGAAGUCGAACAUGACGGCCCAGUUGGCACGCCUGACACAGGUGCUCAUCAUGAGCCCGAGUACAUGGUAUAUCGGUACUACGACUAAGCUGUGUCAGGACAGCACGGCCAGGAUGACCAAGACGCCGGUGCCAUGUAGUGGAAGAAGCUGUGGCGGCAAAAGCGGCUGAAGAAGCGGAGGGCGAAGCGGAAGAAGUGGACGCAGGAAAUCGAAGGGAGUAAAGGGGCCCGGUGCUGUCACAUCGGAGAAGAGGUCGCCGGGUAGCCACAUCCUUCACAGUAAGACCAGAAGAGUCAAAUUCAACAGAACAGGAAUUGUCAGUGGUAAAACGGCGAAUAGAAAGAAGGUUGUGAACCAUGGAGGGAGCAAUAAGAACAUCAGAAACUCGAAAAGAACCGGGAGUGUGAGCAGUACCCACGGAGGUGACAGGAAGACAAGAACCAUUGGCGACCAUGAUGGACGAAGGGUGGGAGGAAGAAGGAGGGUGAACGGAAGAGAGUAUACCAGGGUCGGGUGUAGUAUGGAAGGUGGCACCAGAGUCUGCGAUCCAGUCCUGACCGACUGGAGGAGUCAGGGCCAUGGUGCCGAAGGAGCGUGCCAAGGCAGUCGGGUCCCAUCCGACAGGCCCAGGCGAGGCCCCGGGAGGAGGAGCCCACGGUGAAGCAAACUGAGGAGGAGCCCACGGCGACGCGAACUGAGCAGCUGGGACAGCGCCAGCGAGCAUGGCGGCCGGUGGACGAGGCUCGCCGGUGGCCUGGAAAGGCCACAUAGAGAUGCGCCCUGACCAUGGGUGGGUAAAGGACGGCUAGGGAGAACCCCGUGGAGGCGUCGGUGUGCCCGCCGGUGUGCCCCCACCGCGCCCCCCACCACGUCCCCCACCACGGCGACGGCGGCCGCCCACGGCCCCCCCCCACCCCCGCUCGGCCCAGGAGGGGGAGGACCAAGAAGGGACGACGGUGGCGAAGUGGAGGGUCGUGGCGGUGGAGUCACAGCAAAGCGCGGUCGNNNNNNNNNNNNNNNNNNNNNNNNNNNNNNNNNNNNNNNNNNNNNNNNNNNNNNNNNNNNNNNNNNNNNNNNNNNNNNNNNNNNNNNNNNNNNNNNNNNNNNNNNNNNNNNNNNNNNNNNNNNNNNNNNNNNNNNNNNNNNNNNNNNNNNNNNNNNNNNNNNNNNNNNNNNNNNNNNNNNNNNNNNNNNNNNCCCAGCCAAGGUCCCCGAGGGAGUCCGCCAUGGUCUUCAUCUUCCGGCAGAACUCACCAACGGAGAGGUCGCCCUGGACGAAGGUGCGGAAGCUCGCAUCGAGACGAAGGGCCCGGGCUUCGGCGUUGCCCAGGAACUGACCCUCGAGCGCCAGCCAGGCCCGGCGGGCGGUGGUGUCGGGGGUGCCGCGGACGAGAUCGUGGAGGUCGAGGGAGAUGGUCCCCAGGAUCCACGACAUGACGAUGCUGUCGAGGCGAACCCACGCCGCUGUCCGGGCCGCAGGGAUGGUGUCGGUGAGGACAUGGUCGUCGAGGGCGUAGCGGCGGAGAAUGAGCAGCACCAUGUCCCGCCAUCGGGCAUAGGAAGGCGACUCAGGGUCGAGGACGACGGGGACCAAGCUCUUGAUGUUCUGAACACCCCCGGCCUGGUAGUGGAGCUGCGCGACGAGGGGGUCGGCCGGGUCGGUCCAGGCCGUCACAGGCGGACGGGGAGCACCGGAGCCGGAGGAGGUGGCAGUGCUGUCGUGGGACAUCGGGUGGGCGAGGAAGUGCUCCGCCUCGGCGAUCUGACGAGCCAAGACGUCGGCCGCAUCCCGCUCCCGCUCCCAGGCCAGGGCUGCCGCGCGCAGGCGAGCUUGGCCCUCGGCAGCAGCCGUCCGGGCAGCUACAAGGGCCGCAGCGAGAGUGACCUCCGGAGUGCCGCCGGUGUGUAGGGGCAGAGGUGGUGCGGCGGGGAAGGGGAGGCGAGCAUGCACCCCCCCCCCUGUUGCCCACGGGUAUAUCACCAGGAGGAGCAUGUCCUCCCGGUGGAAAAACCCCCACGCCCUGACCAGGGUGGUGGUGAAGGGCAGCUUCUCCCGGUGGAAGGUCCUGCACCCGGUGGUGGUGAAGAGCGGCGGCGCCCGCGGUGGGGGCGGCGGCGGCGGCAGCGUCCCCGCCCGCACGCCCGCCGACCCCCGCGAACUGGGCCAUUUUGGCUGUUGUUUUUUUCUGUGCAAAUUUCCCGGUCUUUCUGGCCAACACCCACUACGGUGGCGCUCGGACGAGGUGGAGGCUGCAGCGACGCCCACCCANNNNNNNNNNNNNNNNNNNNNNNNNNNNNNNNNNNNNNNNNNNNNNNNNNNNNNNNNNNNNNNNNNNNNNNNNNNNNNNNNNNNNNNNNNNNNNNNNNNNNNNNNNNNNNNNNNNNNNNNNNNNNNNNNNNNNNNNNNNNNNNNNNNNNNNNNNNNNNNNNNNNNNNNNNNNNNNNNNNNNNNNNNNNNNNNNNNNNNNNNNNNNNNNNNNNNNNNNNNNNNNNNNNNNNNNNNNNNNNNNNNNNNNNNNNNNNNNNNNNNNNNNNNNNNNNNNNNNNNNNNNNNNNNNNNNNNNNNNNNNNNNNNNNNNNNNNNNNNNNNNNNNNNNNNNNNNNNNNNNNNNNNNNNNNNNNNNNNNNNNNNNNNNNNNNNNNNNNNNNNNNNNNNNNNNNNNNNNNNNNNNNNNNNNNNNNNNNNNNNNNNNNNNNNNNNNNNNNNNNNNNNNNNNNNNNNNNNNNNNNNNNNNNNNNNNNNNNNNNNNNNNNNNNNNNNNNNNNNNNNNNNNNNNNNNNNNNNNNNNNNNNNNNNNNNNNNNNNNNNNNNNNNNNNNNNNNNNNNNNNNNNNNNNNNNNNNNNNNNNNNNNNNNNNNNNNNNNNNNNNNNNNNNNNNNNNNNNNNNNNNNNNNNNNNNNNNNNNNNNNNNNNNNNNNNNNNNNNNNNNNNNNNNNNNNNNNNNNNNNNNNNNNNNNNNNNNNNNNNNNNNNNNNNNNNNNNNNNNNNNNNNNNNNNNNNNNNNNNNNNNNNNNNNNNNNNNNNNNNNNNNNNNNNNNNNNNNNNNNNNNNNNNNNNNNNNNNNNNNNNNNNNNNNNNNNNNNNNNNNNNNNNNNNNNNNNNNNNNNNNNNNNNNNNNNNNNNNNNNNNNNNNNNNNNNNNNNNNNNNNNNNNNNNNNNNNNNNNNNNNNNNNNNNNNNNNNNNNNNNNNNNNNNNNNNNNNNNNNNNNNNNNNNNNNNNNNNNNNNNNNNNNNNNNNNNNNNNNNNNNNNNNNNNNNNNNNNNNNNNNNNNNNNNNNNNNNNNNNNNNNNNNNNNNNNNNNNNNNNNNNNNNNNNNNNNNNNNNNNNNNNNNNNNNNNNNNNNNNNNNNNNNNNNNNNNNNNNNNNNNNNNNNNNNNNNNNNNNNNNNNNNNNNNNNNNNNNNNNNNNNNNNNNNNNNNNNNNNNNNNNNNNNNNNNNNNNNNNNNNNNNNNNNNNNNNNNNNNNNNNNNNNNNNNNNNNNNNNNNNNNNNNNNNNNNNNNNNNNNNNNNNNNNNNNNNNNNNNNNNNNNCCCCGCGCGGCGAGCCGCAGCGGCGGCGGCGGCGGGAUCCGCGCCGUCCGCCACCCCGGGCGGCGGCGGCGGCGGCAGAAGCCGCCCCGACGGCCGUCAGGGCCGCGGCCGCAGGAGGCCGGCCGGCGGUCGCAACCUGGGCCCACGAUGGAGGAAGAGAAGGGAAGGAGGAGAGGGGAGGGGGAAGGGGGUCGCCGGCCAUGGCGCCGGCCGGCGGCGGCGGCGGCGGCGGUGGCGGCGGCGGCCGGUCACCAGGAAACCCUAAACCCUAACUGAUACCAUAUUAGAAGGUAAUAGAUUGAUUAUGGGUUAACCCUAGAGGGUAGCUAUAUAGAUGUCUUACAUGGGCCUAUUGGGCCAUAAUACACACAGUACACCAACAAGACUUUUCCAUAUCUGUCAUCAAAACUGGCCUAAGAUUUUCAUCAACAUGGUAUAUGCUCCAUUUCUAAAUGGCUUUAGAAUAUCAAACGCGACCAAAUCAUCAUUGGCAGAAUGUAAAUUUUUGACCGAUAUUUCCAAUAACAACAUUUGGUAGGAUAAAUAGACCUGCAUAAAGGAGCAUUAUCCAGUAUGUAAUCAUGUUGUACAUGUGUUUUGCUUCCUUCGAUGUAGACAGAAAUUUGGAAUGAAGCGCUUUGCUGGCUGUCGGUACCGUCAACUACUGAAACUGAGCGCUGAGCUUGCAUUAUGAUCUGCCUAAAACUCCAAGUAAAAAGUUUACGUUUUAUAAUUUUUAUUACCAUAACAUUUACCCACUAAUACGCUCACCUCAAAACACACGCAGUCACUACUUGAUGGUUGAUGUGUAUAGCAAUUUACCUCAGAGCUGGUAUAUGGGCUCCAUCGCCGUCGCCGCGCCGCACGCCUCGCGGCAUGCUGUAUGCAUCCCGUGGGCACCGGGGCAGUCGCCGCUGGCGAUGAUGAUGUAAACUAAGAGAGAGGGACACGGGCUUUCCUCCUUCCUCCACUGCGCCGAGCAUCCCCCGGGUGGCACGCCCCCUGCUGGAUAUCCUCCGUCAUCCGUCACGCCGGGCCGCCCCACGCCGGCGCGUCCCCUCUACGGCCCCACGCCAGCGCGCCCCCGAUCCAUUCCGGCGGCGACGCUUGGAAAGCGGGAGGAGGUGCCCCACCCGUUUCAUCUUGUCGGCGGCGCUUCGACAGCGGGAGGCGGUGCCCCCCGAUCCAUCCCGGCGGCGGAUACUGUACAACGGGAGGGGCGGCGUCCCAAUCUCGAUUCCGAAUCGGCGAUUCAAUUGUGGCCUCGCCGUGCCGCCCCAUUGAAGUUAGGGCCGUCUCUUGGGCAGCUCGCCCCACAACCGCUGCCACCACAGCCCCCGUCUCCGUCGUCCCUUCUCUAGCCCACACCGAGAGAUAAUGAGCGGCAGACCCUGCAGCUGCAUGAUUGAGAGCAGAGGUGCUAGCCGUGGCUUGGAUUGCCCAUGGGGGAGAUGGAUUGGGAGGAGCUGGUGCUGUUGUCGCUCGGAUAGGAGGAUCAGCGGAGGAGAUGGCGUGCUUUGGUUGGAGCUGCAGCUAAAGUCGAUGGAGAGAGAGGUGAUGUCAUGGUGGUGAAUGGUCACGUUGGCGCUUGAGUAUUUUGGAGAUAGAGUUAGCGUGCUGGUGGUGGUGGUAUAGGGCUAGCUGGAUGUCUGAUCUGCUCCUGGUGCUUGUCGGCAGGAAGAAGGGAGAGCUAUUGAUUGCUGCUGCGGUCUUGGUGGAGAGAACAACAGAGAGGAGGAGGUGUGUUCAUGAUUUGAACUGUUGCUUGCCCAUUUGGAGGAAGAAAAAGAAAGAAACUAGCUAUUGGUGAUUGCUUGCUCGGUGGAGGCAGAGGGAGAAGAGAGGCUACAAGGAGUAGGGCUGGUACUGUGUCUUUGCUUGAGAGGAGCUAGCUUGCUGGAGAAGAAGAGGCAAGGAGCAUUUGUAGCACAUUUUUAAGAACAUAUCACAAGUACUAG